rnacentral:rRNA from 1 species
UCGAGAAUAUUCGACAAUGGGCGAAAGCCUGAUCGAGCGACGCCGCGUGCAGGAUGAAGUGCUUCGGUAUGUAAACUGCUUUUGUGAACCAGAAAGUUUAUUGAUCGGUUCAAGAAUAAGAGGUUGCUAAACUCGUGCCAGCAGCAGCGGUAAUACGAGUGCCUCGAGCGUUAUCCGGAAUCAUUGGGCGUAAAGGGUGUGCAGGCGGUCUUGUUAGUCUUCUGUUAAAUUUCUCGGCUUAACCGGGAACCUGCAGGGGAAACGGCAAGACUUGAGGAUGCGAGAGGUUAACGGAACUCAUAGUGUAGCGGUGAAAUGCGUUGAUAUUAUGGGGAACACCAAAUGCGAAGGCAGUUAACUGGAGCACUCCUGACGCUGAAACACGAAAGCGUGGGUAGCG